CCUACGGGAGGCAGCAGUGGGGAAUUUUGGACAAUGGGCGAAAGCCUGAUCCAGCAAUGCCGCGUGAGUGAAGAAGGCCUUCGGGUUGUAAAGCUCUUUUGUCAGGGAAGAAACGGUGAGAGCUAAUAUCUUUUGCUAAUGACGGUACCUGAAGAAUAAGCACCGGCUAACUACGUGCCAGCAGCCGCGGUAAUACGUAGGGUGCAAGCGUUAAUCGGAAUUACUGGGCGUAAAGCGUGCGCAGGCGGUUUUGUAAGUCUGAUGUGAAAUCCCCGGGCUCAACCUGGGAAUUGCAUUGGAGACUGCAAGGCUAGAAUCUGGCAGAGGGGGGUAGAAUUCCACGUGUAGCAGUGAAAUGCGUAGAUAUGUGGAGGAACACCGAUGGCGAAGGCAGCCCCCUGGGUCAAGAUUGACGCUCAUGCACGAAAGCGUGGGGAGCAAACAGGAUUAGAUACCCUGGUAGUCCACGCCCUAAACGAUGUCUACUAGUUGUCGGGUCUUAAUUGACUUGGUAACGCAGCUAACGCGUGAAGUAGACCGCCUGGGGGAGGUACGGUCGCGAGAGUAAACGUAACAAAUAGUAAGUUAGUACGGACGUGAGACGUACGACCGACGGACGACGACGAGGGGAGGAGGG
rnacentral:rRNA from 1 species